UAGGCGGAAUGUUGCGUUAAAGGAAAGGUCGUUGUUAAGCCCUGCAGCCACUCGAUUCACUAAGUUAGCCAUGAAUGGCUGUUCCAACGAAAGGCGGAACUGACUCCACGGAGGGUGUAAGACCCGUAUGGGCGAGUGUUAAUGCUGUAAGGGUUCGGCCUCUGUUCCUUGAGAGUCGCGUUGCUUUGGCAUGCAGCGCUAAGCAGGUCGUAAACUCGAUCUAAGGCUAAAUAUAUCCACAGAACCGAUAGUGAACUAGUACCGUGAGGGAAAGUUGAAAAGCACUCUGAAGAGAGAGUUAAAAGACCGU
rnacentral:rRNA from 1 species